GGACUUUAGUUCACUGGUAGAGCAUCUGCUUUGCAUGCAGAAGGCUCCAGGUUCAGUCCCUAGCAUCUCCA